GGAAAGGUGCGUGAGUGGUUUAAACGGCAGUCCUGGAAAGACUGUGUGCCAGAAAUGGCACCGCGAGUUCGAAUCUCGCCCUUUCCG
rfam:Parcubacteria (Azambacteria) bacterium GW2011_GWB1_42_72 TV45_C0004, whole genome shotgun sequence.